UAAUUCAUAUGUUAGUUGAGAAACAACUUCAGGCUGGUCAUAUAGAACCAACACUUAGUCCUUGGAACACCCCCAUUUUUGUUAUUAAGAAAAAGUCGGGUAAUUGGAGGUUACUACCAGAUUUAAGGGUGAUAAAUCAUGCAAUUCAGCCUAUGGGAUCAUUACAGCCUGGACUCCCUUCCCCCACUGCAAUCCCUCUAAACUAUAGCUUAAUGGUAACAGAUCUAAAAGAUUGUUUUUUCUCAAUAAUGUUGCAUCCUGAGGAUUGUGAAAAAUUUGCUUUCAC
rnacentral:sRNA from 1 species